rnacentral:rRNA from 1 species
UACGGAGGGUCCAAGCGUUAUCCGGAAUCAUUGGGUUUAAAGGGUCCGUAGGCGGCCAACUAAGUCAUACGUGAAAUCCCUCGGCUUAACCGGGGAACUGCGUCUGAUACUGGAUGGCUUGAGUUCGGGAGAGGGAUGCGGAAUUCCAGGUGUAGCGGUGAAAUGCGUAGAUAUCUGGAGGAACACCGGUGGCGAAGGCGGCAUCCUGGACCGAUACUGACGCUGAGGAGCGAAAGCCAGGGGAGCAAACGGG